UACGGGGGGGGCAAGCGUUGUUCGGAAUUACUGGGCGUAAAGCGCGCGUAGGCGGCUUUUCAAGUCAGACGUGAAAUCCUUAGGCUUAACCUGAGAACUGCGUUUGAUACUGUUGGGCUAGAGUGUGGAAGGGGCUACUAGAAUUCCGUGUGUAGCGGUGAAAUGCGUAGAUAUCAGGAGGAACACCGGUGGCGAAGGCGGGUCUCUGGGCCGAUACUGACGCUGAGGAGCGAAAGCGUGGGGAGCGAACAGG
rnacentral:rRNA from 1 species